rnacentral:lncRNA from 1 species
AGUUAUCGCCAUAUAGGAAAAUGGAAAUGCAGCACGUGAUUUAGGUAAUGAGCAAUGAAUGAGUGGCUUUCUCGGGGAGGACGGUGCUUCCCACCGUCGGCAGCUCGCGGACUGACGUGCUGUGAGGAACACGCCUCUAUCCUGCCGCUCCCGUGGGUCGGGCUCGACGAGGAGGCGGUGUCUCUGAAAGCCACGUCCUUCCUGCUCCGACCCCUGCCCGCUGCCCCGAGGGUGAGGGCCCGUCGGGCAGGGCCGGUCACGCGUUUGCAGCAAAGCCUCAGUGUUGGAGCACAGCCCACGCAGGCCAGACCGGGACGCACGCAGAGAGAGCGGCAGGUUCCGUCUGUCUCAGGAAUGCCCGGAAGUCACCCCGUUGGGUUCUCUGUGCCGAGGUUUGCUGGCUGGACGUACCGGGCUUCACAGUUCUGGGCUCUGAAGUGGGACAGAUUUGUCUUCAUUGUUUUUUUUUAACGUAUGAAAGGCACAAGACACAACCCAGCCGUACUGUGGUGGAAUAGUCUUUUCCUUACGAAAUCGGUUUCUAGAACGCAAGCCGUAGUUCGUCCGGCAGUCGGGGGAGAGAGUGAAUAAAGGUACAUUAGCGGCAGCCCA